rnacentral:lncRNA from 1 species
CCUCGAUGGGGGAGGGGCCCCAGGAGUUUGGAAUCUUGAGGAGAGAAGAUUCUAACUCGGAGAGGAGGGUCUUUCUCAGUCUUGAGAAGCAGAAGACAGAAGGUGGGAAAAUGACUUUCUCCUGCAGGUUAUCCACGUUUUCCUGCUGGUGCCUAGGAAUCCUUCCCCCCAACAUUCUCCAAUUGAAGGGAUUUUCUGAAGAGAAACCUGAGCAGACUUUACCUCAGCUCUUGUGCCCAGGGUCCUCAUGAGAAUGAAGCAAGAAGAUUGCCCUGUUCAAAAGUCAUCAGUAGCAUCCUUUUACCAGUCAAAGUUUACUGAAUGCAUCCUUCUUAGAACUCCAGUAAUAGUGGAUGAAAUGGAUGACAUGAACCUUACCCUGUUCUCAUAUAAUUGUGAUGUCCUUGUUCAGUUCUUCUUACUUAAGGAUAUGUCAUAUCUAUCUCAAGUCUCCUCUGCCCAGUUUCCUCCAGUUGUGGCAGCAAGGAAUCCCUCCAGGCUGGGGCCCUCACUCCAAGAUUCCAGGGACCACCAGACACUUAGCACAGUAGAUAAAUUACAAAGGGAUUGCUAA